rnacentral:rRNA from 1 species
AUUGAACGCUGGCGGCAGGCCUAACACAUGCCAGUCGAACGGUAACAGGAAGAAGCUUGCUUCUUUGCUGACGAGUGGCGGACGGGUGAGUAAUGUCUGGGAAACUGCCUGAUGGAGGGGGGUAACUACUGGAAACGGUAGCUAAUACCGCAUAACGUCGCAAGGCCAAAGAGGGGGAGCUUUUGGCCUCUUGCCAUCGGAUGUGCCCAGAUGGGAUUAGCUAGUAGGUGGGGUAACGGCUCACCUAGGCGACGAUCCCUAGCUGGUCUGAGAGGAUGACCAGCCACACUGGAACUGAGACACGGUCCAGACUCCUACGGGAGGCAGCAGUGGGGAAUAUUGCACAAUGGGCGCAAGCCUGAUGCAGCCAUGCCGCGUGUAUGAAGAAGGCCUUCGGGUUGUAAAGUACUUUCAGCGGGGAGGAAGGGAGUAAAGUCAAUACCUUUGCUCAUUGACGUUACCCGCAGAAGAAGCACCGGCUAACUCCGUG